AAAACAACUUUUGAAAAGGAAGUAGUAAAAAGCUGGAAGUUAAAGAGAGCACAUGGCUGGUGUGAAUGUGUACGGAAACUUUUGAACUCGCCUUUGAGUUGCAGUAGCUGAACAUGGGAGUAAGCGUCUGCGGUGACGAUCGUUAUAACGUAAGAGGUCUUAUUUGAUAUAUCCUAUUUCGGUGUAUCUGUAAAUGAGGCGAAUAUUAGGUGGUACCACGUGAUUCUGCGUCCUAUAG
rnacentral:ncRNA from 1 species